AAGAAAAGAGUUUGUCAGCAUAGCCAAGGAGACUGCCCGGAGCAGAAAAGGAGGCUCUAAACUGAAAAGCCCCUUUAGAUAGAGCGGGAAAGUCAUCCUUGGCUACCAAACCACACUCUUUUCU
rfam:Ricinus communis ctg_1100012350764, whole genome shotgun sequence.